UGGGGAAUAUUGCACAAUGGGCGCAAGCCUGAUGCAGCCAUGCCGCGUGUGUGAAGAAGGCCUUCGGGUUGUAAAGCACUUUCAGCGGGGAGGAAGGCGAUAAGGUUAAUAACCUCGUCGAUUGACGUUACCCGCAGAAGAAGCACCGGCUAACUCCGUGCCAGCAGCCGCGGUAAUACGGAGGGUGCAAGCGUUAAUCGGAAUUACUGGGCGUAAAGCGCACGCAGGCGGUCUGUCAAGUCGGAUGUGAAAUCCCCGGGCUCAACCUGGGAACUGCAUUCGAAACUGGCAGGCUAGAGUCUUGUAGAGGGGGGUAGAAUUCCAGGUGUAGCGGUGAAAUGCGUAGAGAUCUGGAGGAAUACCGGUGGCGAAGGCGGCCCCCUGGACAAAGACUGACGCUCAGGUGCGAAAGCGUGGGGAGCAAACAGG
rnacentral:rRNA from 1 species